rnacentral:lncRNA from 1 species
AAAAAAAAAUAAAAAAAAAAGAGAGGAGGGUGCAAAAUCAAAAGAAAUCCAAAUCAAAAGAAAGAAAAAGAAAGAAAGAAAUAAAGGAAAAAUAGCACCCUCAAGUCCCAAGUUGACUGAUGCUGAAUUCGACCAAAAAGGAAGAGAUCAACUGCCAUAUGUCAUGGUCAGUUACAUCAGCAGAGAGUAAAGAAAGCAUUCGACAAGAAGGUCAAGCCUCGUGUGUUCCGAGAAGGUGACCUU